rnacentral:lncRNA from 1 species
CAACAAAGUGUUGGUGUGGCGGUAGAGCUCUUGUACCCCCUUGCGGGAGGUCGGGAGUUCGACUCCCCACGUGUGCGUGUGUAAUCAAUUAGCAAAAAAAAAAAAAAGAAACUGAUUUGAUUGUUCCAGUAUUAGCUGCUGUUGGAUGUGACUAUAAUUUUACUUUCUGCCCCUAGAAAUUCUAAUAUUUCUUGACGGUAAAGAGACAACCAAACAAGGUUCAGAUUCGGGGCAUUUUCUGUUUUCCAGAAAUUCCUCUGAUCAAAGUAUUGAAUAUUGACUGCCAAUUAGCAAUGAACGGC